rnacentral:rRNA from 1 species
AUAGAGUCAGUUGAAGAAUCAGGUGCCGUGGAUCCUGACGAAGGCACGCGAGGACCAGAUGGCGUUAAGGAAACGCGACCCACAGGAGCAGACGAAGAAACCAGGGUGCCAUCCGCGAGCGGCGACGCUGAGGCGUCAUCAGUGCGCAUACUAGCGUCGGAGACAUCGGAGGGUCGACGCGGAGAUGGGCGUAGGGACGGGGGUCGAACCCGGUUGUACUUGAACAUCCGAUGCUGUACAAAGCAGGGCUUGUCAGCUGGAUCGAAGAAGACUUCUCGCAACGGCUCGCCGUUGGGUUCAAAUAGCCCUUGUGGGCAUGCCACCGAGUUGAAGUAGACGGUGCGAGCGCGCGACUUGAGCAUCCCAUGGUCGUGCGUGGCCGUAAUCAGAACCGGACGGGCACCGCGGCUGACGAACCAGUUGUAGAUGUCGCGGUCGGAAACGUUGAACGGGAGACGUUGAAGAUCCACGUAGUACAGCUUGUCGAAUAGAGAAUACUUCCGGAUCGUGACAAGCGUGUCACACACCUUUAGUGUGACACCACCAAGACAGCGGAGCGCCUCUUCAGACGUACAGACGAAGCCGAUCCCUUGAUGCGGAAUACGGACAAAAUCGCGGACACAUCCCUGGUGGAGGUACUUGCGCCAGAUUUCUGGCUGAUAGUCUGCCUUCAGAGACACGCACAACUCGUCUAUGUUGCGUUCGGCUGUCAAACGUGCAGCAGGAAUCCACAUACGCGUGCAGUUCUUUGCGUCGACCUCAGUUGGAAGUGUCGCAAGAGCUUUCUGGCAGCGUUCUUCUUCGGAAGCGUUCGGGUCGUUGCAGCGGGCAAUGCUCUCUUCGAAGGCGUUGUCGUCGGGGACCGAGCGGUUGGGCGCGGGUGGUCGAUUCGCUUGACGAGGAGGCCGGGCCUGCCGUUGCGUUGGGCGAGCCUGGAGUUGCGCCGUGGGAGCGCGCGAGAUGGUAACCAUAUCUACCAGAUAGAUGUAGGUGCAGCAAAGCAGAUCAACUACGGUGGGAGCAAGAACUGCCCACAACUUCUCCUCAAAGGACCUUACGGCAAACGCGGGAUCAACGCGACCAGUGAGGAAACAACACCCUAGUAUAAGGUAGCUUGAGCUGAGUAGAAGGAGCGAAUCCAACUAACACCAACAAGGACUUCAAGCGGACUGUACAGGCCCACGAGCACCCGCCUAAGGAAGGGGGAGAACGGUGUUGCUUUCGGUAAAGAGAGAAACAACCGCCCUAGUGACUUAACGCACGUACUGCGGAGCAGCAGUGGGACACUCGGCUUGUGGACGUGCAGGUACAGACCAAAGUCACGGACUGGAGUAGAGAACCGGGUAGGCGUGAGACUUCCGCGAGGAGAGCCUUCAGCGACGACGGCUUGGUUGCGGCAGGUGACAGCACUCGGUGAAGAGAUACUGUCGGGAGCGGCGAGUUGCUUCGGCGGCGGGCAGCACUCUGCGAAGAGGAACUGACGGGGCGGCGGAAGCGAGGCUUGGCGACGGCGGCAGCGCUCCGCAGGGAGGACUGACGAGGACGGCGGCGGCGGGGAAGGUCUUCUUGUGUGAAGACGGGGCAGGAUCGGGCACUUGUGCUCGAGCCGGCAAAUUCGGAAUGGGGGAGUUUGGCUGGGUAAAUUCCUUCUACCCAAGGUAGAUUCUUUAUUACAAUCCUUUUCUACGUAAGACCUGCUAUCAAUAACUUACAGGAUUUGCGUCUCCGUGGCGUACCUUGUGCACGCUUGCUUCACAUCAACUACCGGCUGCAACCCUAUGGCCCAGUCGGUUUUGCGGCCACGAAUUCGUACUUAAGCGAAUCGGAAUUUUCCGACGCGCCGGGGUUUGAACCCGCAACCUCCCGAUCAGAAGCCCAGUGUUUAACCACUGCACCACCUGACCGGUAGGGGGAGUUUGGCUGGGGCGGCACAUCUGUUAAAUGAUAACACAGGUGUCCUAAGGUGAGCUCAAUGAGAACAGAAAUCUCAUGUAGAACAAAAGGGUAAAAGCUCACUUGAUUUUGAUUUUCAGUAUGAAUACAAACCGUGAAAGCGUGGCCUAUCGAUCCUUUAGUUCUUUUGAAUUUUAAGCUAGAGGUGUCAGAAAAGUUACCACAGGGAUAACUGGCUUGUGGCAGCCAAGCGUCCAUAGCGACGUUGCUUUUUGAUUCUUCGAUGUCGGCUCUUCCUAUCAUUGCGAAGUAGAACUCGCCAAUUGUUGGAUUGUUCACCCACUAAUAGGGAACGUGAGCUGGGUUUAGACCGUCGUGAGACAGGUUAGUUUUACCCUACUGAUGAGUUCGUUGUCUAAACAGUAAUCCAACCCAGUACGAGAGGAACCGUUGGUUCAGAUAAUUGGUAACUGCGGUUAGCUGAAAAGCUAGUGCCGCCAAGCUACCAUCUGUAGGAUUAUGGCUGAACGCCUCUAAGUCAGAAUCCAUGCUGGAAUAGACGAUAAUCACCUUUCCCGAUGUGCCGCGAAUAGCGAUAGGUGUCUUCUGGACACCCAACAUCAUACAAUUGCAACGCACUCCGCUGCCUGUCAAGUACUGGCGGUGGAGAGUAGGCUGAUUUGUAAUUUCAAAUAUUGGGAAAGAUAAAUCC